rnacentral:rRNA from 1 species
CGGGAUCCCCGAGCAAUCGGGGUGAGAGUGGCGCACGGGUGAGUAACGCGUAUGCAACCUACCUUUAACUGAGGGAUAGCCCAUAGAAAUGUGGAUUAAUACCUCAUAGUUCUUUAGUUCCGCAUGGGAUUAAAGAUAAAGCUCCGGCGGUUAAAGAUGGGCAUGCGUGACAUUAGCUAGUUGGUAAGGUAACGGCUUACCAAGGCUACGAUGUCUAGGGGUUCUGAGAGGAUGAUCCCCCACACUGGUACUGAGACACGGACCAGACUCCUACGGGAGGCAGCAGUGAGGAAUAUUGGUCAAUGGGCGCAAGCCUGAACCAGCCAUCCCGCGUGCAGGAUGAAGGCCCUAUGGGUCGUAAACUGCUUUUAUACGCCAAGAAAAAACAGGACGUGUCCUGGACUGACGGUAGUGUAUGAAUAAGCAUCGGCUAACUCCGUGCCAGCAGCCGCGGUAAUACGGAGGAUGCAAGCGUUAUCCGGAUUCAUUGGGUUUAAAGGGUGCGUAGGCGGCUUUUUAAGUCAGUGGUGAAAUCCUGCCGCUUAACGGUAGAAUUGCCAUUGAUACUGAAGAGCUUGAGUACAGUUGAGGUAAGCGGAAUGUGUAGUGUAGCGGUGAAAUGCUUAGAUAUUACACAGAACACCAAUUGCGAAGGCAGCUUACUAAACUGAUACUGACGCUGAUGCACGAAAGCGUGGGGAGCGAACAGGAUUAGAUACCCUGGUAGUCCACGCCGUAAACGAUGUUCACUCGCUGUUUGCGAUACACAGCAAGCGGCCAAGCGAAAGCAUUAAGUGAA